AUCCAGAAAUACCCAUUGUGUCCAGAGAGUGGGGUUAAUCCAGAAAUAUCCAAUUGUGUUCAGAGAAUGGGGUUAAUCCCGAAAUACCCAAUGUGUCCAUCAGCACCAUGUGUCUGGACAGCGGUCAGGGUGGUUUGUCCCGGUGAAUCGAGGUUAUUCCCCCAAAGGUGCUGCUGGGAGCGGGGUCUGUCACCUCCUGGCAGAGGAUCACAGUGCCAAGGCCACCGUCCCCACCACCUGCUCUUUCCUUGGGGAGCAGCUCGGUUUCAACCCACACAACGUGUUUUAACAGAGAUAAACCCAUAAAUACUCAUUGUCCCCCCACAAUGUCGCUAUUUACAGCUCUGGGCAGGAUGCUCAUGGUGAGAUUUACUCUUGGAGAGUCAUUUCCCCAGCCUUGGUAGCAGCUGUGUGUGUCUGGAGAUGGAGGGACAGCUCCUAUCCUCUGUAAAGCUGGCAUCACCCUCCACGCCAUCAGUUAAAAUAUUACACAUUGCAAUUUCCUCUCUUGAGUUGAGAUUGUGUUUCCUCACUGCUGCCUUCAGCUCUGACCCGUUGGGGUUUGCUCAUUUGUUUGUUUUGCUGAGUUUUUAAUAGAUAGUGGAAGAGCAUGCACGUGCUAAGAGUAUUAAACAUGCAAGUGCAAAGGCCAGAUCCUUCUUAUCAUAAUUGUAAUAAUUACAUUGAUAAGCCUACAUGCAAGUGAUGCGUGGAGCUGUAUAAAUCAGGUUAAAGUACAAUCCCCAGUGAGAGUGGUGCUGUAUACAUUUGGCAAUGUCCUCAAAGCCCCAAGUGUUCAUACUUGUAUCCAAAUAGAGUAAAGCCAGUUGCAAAUAAUGUUUAUAUUUUCAUUAAACUGCAGAAAGGCAAGAGAAUUUCAUCCUUACUAUAGGCAGUAAUCUCGCCCGUGGACGGUGAGCAGAUCUAUUUAUUCAGUGGAAAUAAAUUUGUUCUAUGAGAAUGGAAUUUUGUAUUAAAAGAGAUAAUUUUUGGCUUACGUUGAGUUAUUUUUCUUUCCUUGCGUAGGAAACUUCCGUUCCCUUGUGUACUGAGAUGAUUUGGGGAUGAUUUGCUCUGGAAGUGUUGACAGUGUCUAAGUGUGAUGUCUAAAGGGUGUUUUGAUGACUUUUAUUUUGCUUUUUCAUUAUGUUGAGCUGAGGCUGAGUGGGUAGCAGCAUUCCUUUCCCAGGGCAGGAAAAAAAAGUGGAUCCAUCAUCUCUGACCUGCAGUGGGUGCCAUUCUGCAUGCUCCAACCCAGGUUCCUCCUAAUUAAUAGGGAGUAUUAAUGAUAAUUCUGUCUUUAUCAGCAGUAGCAUUGGUAGCAUUAAUUCUACUGGGAAGGAAUCAAAUAAAAUCAAAUGAUCUGCAGUUCCAUUAGAGCUGUUUGAUAGGAUGCUAUGUGAAAUAAAUAAUUUUUUAGCUGAUUUCAUGGUUGUACAAGUACCUGGUGUCAGCCUGAGCAGCUCAGCCUGUGGUAGUAAAACUUCAGCAAGUGUUUGGUUUAUUCCCUCACUGACCAUUGAAAUUCUUCCUACAGGUGGAAAAGAACAGCAAGGCCAGUGACCCAAAAACCUGGCUGCUUUGGAAAGUGGAUAGUAUUGGCAAGCAAAGAAAUAUGGCAAGUAAAAAGUCUUUUUUAGAUCCAGUUGAUGUCAGUGUUUUCUUCAAAAAAAAAAGGGCAAGCCCCAGCCCUGAGGGCUCCUGAGGAGGAGUCAAGGCACUGAUUAAGGCAGAGAGUAAUUGUUCAGUCCGUACUUAAUUGUCCCCUUCAGUUUUAAACCAGUUAACAAUUGUGGAUGGAUGUAAUUUAUGUAGAUAAAUAUACACAUAUGUAUAUAUACAUAUAUAUAUAUAUAUAUGUAUAUAUAUAUGUAUUCCUGCUAGUAGUGGGGGCUCUGACACUGCAGCCAGGAAGGCUGGUGGAAGGAAUGGCAAUGGCUAAGCUGUGACAAGUGGGAAUUUUGCCAAGGCUGACAGUGAGAACGGCACCUGAAAGUCAAGUGCCUCUCGCUGGCUUCCAGACAGCCAAUAACUACAUGAAAUUCUUGUUGCAAACCCUUGUUUUAGAGCAGGUAACAAAUAGCUCCCAGACCUUAUUUUUCCUGCCUUUAUCCCCAGCUCUCACCAGCCUGCAGGUCGCUGGCAUUCCCAGAAUUGCUUUUUUUUACCUGUCUGCAUGCACAGAUCCUCCUUGGGCUGAGGACACACACCCUGAGCCCUCUGUUUGUGCCUGGAGUGGAGACCAAGUGAAAACACAGUUCUCUCUGUUGGGUUUUUCUGUAGAGUGGUGUUUUGCACCUCGAGACUUCCCUCUGCCCCGCCUGGAGUGCCCUCAGCUUGCUGGCAGCCUGGCCAGGUUGGCCGUGGUGGUGUCACAGGCCUUUGCCAACCAGAGCCAACCAGAUCUGUGCAAGCCUUCAGAGCACAAAGCCCUGAUAAGAAGGAUCCCUAACAGGUAUGCAUCAGGGAGAAGGAGGAGAUGCUCCUAAAAUUAGUUGCUGUCAGCUCCAAGCAGGAGCGAGUGCCUCGUGUGUCACGGAAACGCUGAGUAUGUGCUGUAUAUACUGUGUGUAAAUCUGAGUAUGUACCUAUAAUUACACUAGUGAAGUGUAAAAUUCAAUCUUUGCAAACUUCUGGGAGAUUCAGGAAUGUGGCUUGCUUUGGACUGUAAUUAAAAAUAUGGGCAUUUUGGUUAAAAAUAGCUCCUUUCCGACCUACAUUCCCGAUGUAGGUCAGUGGAGGCAUUUUUCAGACAUAUUAGCAUUUUGGACACUUAAUCUUAGCAGCAUAUUGCAUCUCCUAGAAUAGGUUAGGAGAGGCAAGGCAGGAGGAAUUGCUGCAUCUCGAGUCACCCAGAGAGGUUGCCAAGUUUCUCAGGCACCAGAGAGGCAGAAUAAUGAGGAUUAUAUUUAAUUCGGGCUGGAGAGACAACCGUGGGGUGUUGAGCAGAGGCAGCUCAGAUCAACUUGGCUCUGUGGGGGAGGGAGAAUUUAUAACUCUAGCUGGCUCCAAAGCAAGCUGUGUGUGCAUUUGCGUGUGUAUAUAUAUUUAUAUAUAUGUAUAUACAAAUCUGGAUGUGUAUAUAACACCCUGUGUAUAUAUGUAUGUAUGUAUGUAUAUGCCUCCAGUGUACAAAAUGUGUAUCUAUAGAAAUGUAUACAUUUAUAUGAAUUUCUAUUUCUCUAUAUAAAUAGUCAUGCAACUAGGGGAAAUCACAUUUCCACGGCGUGUCCUUUUCUGUAACACCCCCCCAAAAAAGAAGCUGCUUCCAUUAAUGUCACAUUGGCACAAAUUUCUUAAAUUCUCUUUUCUGUUUUGAAAGGAGCGGUGCUUAGUGGCUGAGCACAAGCCUGGAAGGUUUUUACUCUUCCAGAGGACUUGCAGUAAAUCAUGAACUGCUCCAGAGCUGUUCCACAUUUGUGAAAUAAAGCGGUGGCCAAAAUGACUCAGGGCUGGUUUUACAGGCAAAGGAAAGGAAGGAGUUGUUGAGUGUGCAUUGGAAACCUCUGCUAUGCUCUCAGAGUUCUGAUGGUGAAAUAUCUGCACUGCUAAUUACUCUGGUUGCUGUUAAUUUCCCAGCAAUUGGCUUGAACAGGGGGAAAAAAAAUUUUCCUGCUCUGAAGUAAGUUAUCUGAAGUCUGAUUAUGUUGCCUCAGUGAUGUAUGGAUUUCCAUUUAGGGUCAGGAUGUUGGGCUGUAAAUCAAGAAUCUGAGCUCAGUGAACAUCUAGUUUGGGAUGUGUCUUUUCUGUUCUAAUUGAUUUUAAAUAAUUUCAAUUCAUCAUCAGAACAAGCUAUACCUUAAUUCAUGAUAAACUCAAAGAAUUUCUCAUUCAUAUCAGGGUGAAUUUUGCACUUGACUUCGGUGGGGUUGAACGAGGUCGGAGCGUUUCAUUCAGCACUGGCAUAAAAACAAUCUUGUACUUGUGCAACUAUUAAUUCAAAUUGUAAUUUUGUAAUAAAAGCAGCCUAAAAAUGA